CACAUAAUUCAGUCAAAGAAGUGAGAAACAAACUUCCAACAUGAAUCGUGUGACUCUGGUUCUUCUUGUGCUGGUUGCGUUGGCAGGAUUUAUGAGUAUGCAGAAUGGAGUUAAUGUGGAGGCUCAUUCCUGCAGAGAACAUUUAGGCAAAUGCCGGAGAAAGUGCCGUGGUGUUGAGACAUCCAUUGGACCACAUGGAUGCUGCUUUAGACGAGUUUGCUGUCUAACAUGAAGAACUUGGUUCAUGAAUUAAGAAGCAAA